GGUGAAGGAGGCAGCUGGGGCUUCUAAGUUUCUGAAUCGCUCCAUCGAAUCUCAUAUCCUUUGUCGGACGAAGACGAAGGAACAGCGAUUGAAUUGAAUAUGCAUCCCAUGGUGUUGAAUUCCUCCCCUUACCACAGAGCCCCGCAAACCCUUCAAUCUCCUUCUUCCUCUUCUUCUUCUUUUUCUUCUCGCGCCUUCAAGAUCUCCUCCUUCUUCGUCCGCCAUGUUUCGCCUUCAAGACAGCGCAGUCUUCUUUGCCGGAGAUCAUGUCGUUCCCUUCGAAUUAACUCACGCACGCCAGUUAUUAGAGCCGUCGCAACUUCCAAUUCGGCACUGGAAUUGCCGCUGACUGCAGAAAAUGUUGAAAGUGUUCUGGACGAGGUUCGACCAUAUCUUAUUGCGGAUGGUGGUAAUGUAGCAUUACAUGAAAUAGACGGAAAUGUUGUACGGUUGAAGCUACAAGGAGCAUGCGGCUCAUGUCCGAGUUCUGUUACGACUAUGAAGAUGGGAAUUGAACGGCGUUUGAUGGAGAAGAUCCCUGAAAUAGUUGCUGUGGAACCAAUAGCAGAUGAGGAAACUGGAUUGGAGCUCAACGAGGACAAUAUAGAGAAGACGACUUAUAAUGGACCUUUCAAGGUAUUUGAACAUUUUUUGGGAGGAAGAAGCACAAUGGUAUGUAUAGCUCACACAGGUUCUUUGAUAUAUUUGAUUAUUGAGAAAUUAAGGGUAGGAUUAAGCUAGCAUUCUUUGAUGUAUGUGAUUAUUGAGAAAUUAUGGGUAGGAUUAAGCUAGCAUUCUUUGAUAUAUGUGAUUAUUUUGAAAUUAAGGGUAGGAUUAAGCUAGCAUUCUUUUUAUUCAACUUCAACAAUUCUUCAGAUUGGCUUCGUUUUUUGAUAAGAUAUUACCCAUUUAGUAGGUCAAGCCUCUGUCUCCGUAGUUUUUUUGGUACUUCAGCCUUCCAUUUCUCAUUUCUCUGUGACCGAAGGAACGAAUGGGUUUCUGAAAUCAUCCUUAUUCGGAUAAGGACUGCCAAGAAAGCAUAUGGCAUGAUUACAUCUUCAUUUCGUUCUUCAUAGAAAUAUCAAUUAAGUGCAUCCAAGGCCCGUGUGUCCGAUUUUUUAAUCCGGGUGCUACUCUACUUGGUAUUGGUCCAAAACUGCGACCAGCUUGAUUAAGCUUGCAGCAUUUGUAGACAAUGAACCUGAUAGUAAUGCAACACAACGCUUGAAUUUGCCUGUCAUCAUAUGAAACCCAAGGGGCUGUAUAUCGAAUCGUACUGGUACUCGAAGAGAUAAGACCUUAUCUUAUCGGGGCAGCGGGAGGAUCUCUCGAACUCGUGGGUAUCGAGGAGCCAAUAGUUAAAGUUCGGA